rnacentral:rRNA from 1 species
UACGGAGGGUGCAAGCGUUGUCCGGAAUUACUGGGCGUAAAGCGCGUGUAGGCUGCUUCGAAAGUCGGAUGUGAAAGCCCUGGGCUCAACCUAGGAAGUGCACUCGAAACUUCGAAGCUGGAGUCCUGGAGAGGAAGGCGGAAUUCUCGGUGUAGAGGUGAAAUUCGUAGAUAUCGAGAGGAACACCGGUGGCGAAGGCGGCCUUCUGGACAGUGACUGACGCUGAGACGCGAAAGCGUGGGGAGCAAACAGG